rnacentral:misc_RNA from 1 species
AUAUUGGUAUUUUUAUUGUUUUUUCCUUACUCUUUACUAAUAGCCCUCUCUCAGUUGUUUUGUUAUUCAUUGUUGGUGCCAUGAAGGUUACAUACUACAAGUUUUUCUUAUGUUUUGAACUAUGAUAAAGCAUGUUCAUAUCAUUGUGUAAAGUUGCUGACUUUAAAGCACAGAUAAAAACACAUAAGUGAUUUGAUUGAGUGAUACAGGUCAUGGGUAUUAAAAUCAUCAACAAUUUCUGAAUUUAAUGUUUUGUAAUAAUGAUUCCGUCCAAUUACUAUUUUAUAAUGAAAUGGCAUCAUAUGUCUUAACAUGUCUUAAACAUCUUGAUUUAUUUUAUAUCAUUGCAUAUGAAUAGUUUUUGUUGAUAUUUAAUUCUACAAAUACUUUUCUGAUAGUAUUUUUUUAACAUGUAUAAAUAUACUGUUUUUACUGCUUUUUUUCCCAUUGCAUGAAUAUUGUAUACAUACAUGUUCAUGUAAUUUAUAUAUUCAACUACAUGAGGAAAACCAAAAUAGUGGUUUGAAAUUUACUCUAAAUAUGUUUGCAUUUGAAACAUUUCUGUGAUAUUACCUACCAUUGUGGGUACUUUCAAUGAUUUAUUUUAUGAUACAUGUAGAAGACAUCCAAAGUAUUGAGCUGAUAUAUUUAUGAUUUUAAAAAUGAUGCGUUGACUAUAUAUGUGAAAUUCCAAGUUAUUUUGUACACAGUAUUUCAUGGUUUAUGGCAGUAUUUUAAUGACCUAAUGUUACUGGUACAUCAAAUUUUUACAAUUUUUAUGACACCGUUUCCAAAUGCUUCCAAUGGCAUUGUUGACCAUACCAGAAGUUUCAGUUUUAAACAUUUGUAUUUUGACGUAGUUUUUCAUUAUUUAUGAAAUCAUGAUUGCUUUUUGAAUUUUGGUAAAAAUAGUGAUAUACUUUACCUAGUUUAACAAGUUAAAUGGAUGAUUUAUGCUAGUUAAGAAUAUCCUUAAGCAAUAUACAUGUACUUUACCUAGUUUAGAUUGUUCAGAUAGCCUUAGAGCAUAUCUGCACUAGGAAUAGAGGAAAUUUACAUAUGUCUAGACGCAGUUAAAUAAUGACUGAAAUGCAUAAUACAUUUAGUGUAUAGAGAGUACAAUGUAUAGAGAGUACAAUGCACUAUUUAUUGAUUGAUUGAUUACACUUAUUAAAAUAUUAUUAUUGACUAUGCUACCUACAGUGUAACGUGUUUUAUUUUUAGGUUUGUGAGCUGACACCGAUAGCCUUUUAGUUUUAGACAACUUGAAUUUUGUUCUGUAAUACUCAUGCUGAAAAUUUAGAUUUGCAUAAAUACGAAAUGUUUAUCCUGAAAGAUUAUUUGACAUACUCAGACAUGCACAUAUAUCAUAUAUUUGUUUCAUAGAUACUGUUUUGGAUUUUCUUUUGGAACACAUUGAUACAGCCAUACAAGAAUUUAUUUUGUAGUUUUUUAAACAUGGACAGAUUCUAUGUGUGUAUGUCAAGUACAGUAUUUUUUUUUUUAGAAUUUAUUCAUGUUUGGAGGUUCUUUUUAAACUUCUUCAACUGUACAAAUGAAAUAUUAUUAGAUUGUUCCGUUGAUUUUUUUGUUUAAAAUAAAAACACUUCUACAGGGUUUUGCAAGUCUUUGGACAAGGUUGUGUGUUACAAAUGUUUUAUACUCUGUGAUACUUAUUGUGCUGAAUUUAUAUAAAACACACUCUGUUAUUAAAAUAUUGUUUUCAAAUAAAGUUCUUGAAAUUU